GUAGGUCUUAUUUUCAAGAAAACAUGCAUACCACAUGUGUGUUCAUGCAUCAGUUUAUGGACGUUUGGGUUGUUUCUUCUUUUUGGCUAUUAUGAAUGACAUGGUUAUGGAUAUUCAUGUUUCAAAUACAACGUUUUUGUUGUUGUUGUUUUUGGUGUUUUGAGACAGUCUCAUUUUGUUGUGCAGGCUGGCCUUGAACUUGCAGCGACCCUCCUGCCUCACCUCCUGAGUGCUGGGAUUAUAAGCGUGUGCUACCGUGCCUGGCUCAAAUACAAGUUUUUAAUGUGGCCUAGGUUUUCCUUUCUCUUGGGCAUAUACCUUGCAGUGGAAUUUCUGAGUCAUGUGCUGACGCUGAAAACAUUCUGAGGAACUGUCAGACUGUUUCCCAGAGCAGCCAUGCCAUUUGCCCCCACGGCCACGUGACAGUUCACAUUUUCCGAGACAUCGUAACACUUCUUUUUAUCUUUAUUUUUUCCUUCUGGUCAUAGCCUUUCUAGUGGGUGCCAGGUGGUAUCUCUUUGGAGGUUUGAUUUGCAUUAUCCCAUUGGCGAAUGAUGUUUAACAUCAUUUCCUGCUUACUGACCAGUCAUAUAAGUUCUGUGGAGAAAUGCAUAUACAAAUUCUUCGCCCCUUUUGACUGUUUAUAGGAAACAAACAUUACUUUGAUGAUCAGAAAAAAAUCCAGCAUUGUCUUCAAACUCUGUGCUGCCGUGUCACACAGGUCGGAAGCCGUCUCUGCGGGUCUCUCAGCUCUGUUGCACACUGGACCUCUGAGGAGCUGCAAGUGGUGUAUGCUGCUUAGAGCAGGGCCUUCCCCUAAUUGAAGCCAGAAGCAAAGCCUUUCGUGGGAAAGCCGCAGGGACUCACCUAGUGUUCCACUUUACCUUACUUGAUGUAUGUUUUAAACAACAUCACAUAAGCUGCCAGCAGCUAGCAGCUCCAAGGUUAACCCAAGGACAAGAGCAUCUCUCCCCACAUUCCUGAGUAUGGCCUGCGGAGACUCUGAAAAUGACGGAACAGAUCUGGCAGACUUUUUCACAUUGCCAGCUUUGCAAACCCACCUGAAAAUCAAUGGAUGUCUUCCUCUUGCUGUUGACAGCACCAGAACAUGUUGUUCUUCAGCUAAUUGGAUAUUACAACACCAAGGCUAAACAGAUAUGCACUAGAUAGCAUAAACCUGGGGGGCCCAACUUUUCCACCGGGAAGCAGAAUGUAUUGGACAGGUGAUUUCACUUUAAUAAGCCUUUCUUUGCUUUCUAAAAAGGCAAUAACCGUGCUUAUGUAUAAAACUUUGUAAAGAUUAAACACAGUAAAUACUUAGUGGCAGGUAUUUUACUUAUUAAUAAUUGAAACUGAUCUGUAUUGACUGACAAAGACAAAAGAAAACGUGAUCCAUGCUUAAUAAAAGAAAACAGCUAGCUACUAGGGGCUCUAUGGCUGCAGUCCCUUCUGACUCGAACAGAAGGUAAGCCUUGAAAAGUGCA
rnacentral:lncRNA from 1 species